GUCAGACUUCAUUAAGUGACACAUUCAAGCAGCGAAUCGUUUCAAAAACAAACAAGUCCUCGAAAGACCCUCGGAGAUGUAAGAUGGCCCGCCGACGAACGCCGUCGUGUCAGUGAUGUCGCACUGUAAACUGAAAGAUUAAAGCGUGGAGGCUUCAUUCAGUAUCCAGAGCGACUAUUAUGCUUUUACAGCGUCAUAAAACGUUUCACAAAAAGAAAUUUCACUGCUGCGGUUUCUAACUGUUAAACAAUUAGGCUGCGUUCACAAGGACCUUUUUUUUUGGUAUCCGUCGAAAACACGCCUCUCGACAAAACGUGUCAGGACGUACAAGAGAAAUCAAUAAAUAUAACAAGUCGUCCAUGAAAUAUAGAAUUUUAACUGGAUGUACUGUAGAAGACUUCCUAGGGCGGGGCUUCAGUCAUUCAAAGUCAUGUUCAAAGCUGUAAGGACAGUCUACCAUCAGCCUCUGUCGGAUUAUAGCACAAAACAUCCACCGACAGACACGCCUAAAACAAACCAGCUGUGCGCACGAAUAUAUUUUCAGAUAGACGCCUUAGGACCGGAGUAUCACACAGGACGAGGCUCAUACAUAAUCAUCCUUUUUAUGUUGCAUCAGAUUAAAUUUCACCACGAAGACAACGCGCUGUUCGGUUCUUCAGUCCGUAUUUUCUAUCCUCGAUUAUUUAUUUAUUUACUCUUUCAGCCUUAAAGACAGAUACUUAUGUUUAAAUGCGCGGCUCUAAAUGUUAUUGAAAACCCCAUUUAUGAUGCUUCUGCUUGAGUAAAACCUGGAAACCACGCAGGCGUUAGCUACACGCAGGUGAUCUGCAUGAUCUGAAUGCCACGCCCAGGAACUUAAGGAACCGCGUAACCUGAUUCUGAAUACGAGGAACUUUCUCCACAGAAAUGCUGAUGAAACUUUUGAACUUAGGGCACAAACUGAAAAUGGUGCUUUGAGCAUUCCUGUCAUACAUACAUAGAUAGAUAGAUAGAUCGAUAGAUAGAUAGAUCGAUAGAUAGAUAGAUAGAUAGAUCGAUAGAUAGACAGAUAAUUAGAUAGAUAGAUAGAUAGAUAGAUAGAUAGAUAGAUAGAUAGACAGAUAGAUAGAUAGACAGAUAGAUAGAUAGAUAGAUAGAUAGAUAGAUAGAUAGACAGAUAGAUAGAUAGAUAGAUAGAUAGAUAGACAGAUAGAUAGAUAGAUAGAUAGAUAGACAGAUAGAUAGACAGACAAUUAGAUAGAUAGAUAGAUAGAUAGAUAGAUAGAUAGAUAGAUAGAUAGACAGAUAGAUAGAUAGAUAGAUAGAUAGAUAGAUAGACAGAUAGAUAGACAGAUAAUUAGAUAGAUAGAUAGAUAGAUAGAUAGAUAGAUAGAUAGAUAGAUAGAUAGAUAGAUUGUUGCUAAAACUAGAAUGCAAACCCUGCUAACAAGGUUUUAAGGUUUGUAGAACAUUUUCUGAACGUUACGCUUCUAGGAACAUUUGGUUCAUAGAAUAUUCUGUCAAAUUUCUUAGUAUUUUAAGAAUUUUUUUUUUUUUUUUUUUUUUUGAAAUCUAAAGAUUCCUACAAUGAUUAAUUGUAUGAACAUUAGCACUAACACAUAACUGGGACAGUGGUGGCGUGGAGGUUAAGGCUCUGGGUUACUGCUCGGAAGGUCAGGGGUUCAAGCUGCC
ensembl:lncRNA